rnacentral:RNase_P_RNA from 1 species
CCAGAUGGCCGGAUAGCCGCGCUCACCCUUAAAAGUGAUCGAGGAAAGUCCGGGCUCCACGGAAGUAAGGUGCCGGUUAACGACCGGCGGGGGCAACCCUAGGGAAAGUGCAACAGAAAACAAACCGCCUUGAACUUCGGUUCAAGGUAAGGGUGAAACGGUGCGGUAAGAGCGCACCGCAGGCUUGGUAACAAGCGUGGCAAGGUAAACCCCACCUGGAGCAAGACCAAAUAGGGGCGACCGAUCGGGCGGGAAACCGUGCCGGUAAAUGUGCUUCCGCACAGUCGCCCGGGUCGGUCGCACGAGGUGUCCGGUAACGGGCAUCCCAGAUGAAUGGCUAUCCCCCGGUUUCGGCCGGGGACAGAACCCGGCUUACAGGCCAUCUGGCAUU